ensembl:lncRNA novel transcript
AGAGAGGAAGGUUCAUACUGGCAAGAAGUAAAUUCAGUAGGCAGGAGAAAUCUUCAUGGCUAAAAUCUCAUGCAGGGUCAAACUGUCUGGGUUUGAAUUCUGGAUCUAUCACUUACUAGCUGAUGAUUGUACCUCUGAAGUCUCAAAGCAUCUUACAGAGCCAUUUGGGAGAUUUUUUGAGUCCAUUUAUGUAGGGCACAUAGCACAGUUCCUGGCAUAUUAGCGCCACCCUGUAAAUGUCAGCUACUAUCAGUAGAGGUGGUGGAGAACCCUAUAUGAAAUGGAUUUGAAUGCCAAAAUGAGAAGUCAGAACUUGACCUUCUAAUUACAAUGCUAAUUAGCCCAGUUUACGGGGACUGCUGUGCAUUUGUACACGAGGGUUCUUUGUUUGAUCUGCUACAUCAUAAGCUUACCAGCACGGAGGGAUAGCAUGUAUCGUUGAACGUGGAAGAACACACCUUCAUUUGUGUUAAUGAAGAAAACUACUGAAAACCAACAGACUAAUUAAGGGUAACGAUGAACAAUUUUGAUCAGCAAUUAUUUUUUAAUAUCGAAGUUCGCUCCUGGAAAGAGUAGAAUGGGGAAGUUCAUCUUCCAGCUUUCUACCCAGAAAAGUAGUGAGAGAGAGAUCCUGCUUCAUUUCCAAUUCUUCUCCCACAAACUGUUUUAACAUAUAAUUUAAUCGAUGCCUUUAUUUCAAAAGAAAAAAAUAAUUAUAGAGCUUGUUGGGAUCAUUUUCUGAAGAGAGGACAUUAUGCGUGCAUGAAUUCCAUCGGUGAUCUGAGGAGGAGCAGGCUGCUUGGACCAUUACCCAUCAUUGUCGAACAGCAGAGUAAUUAAUUGGGCAAAUACGUCUAGAUCUGGUGAAUUCACAUGCACAGUAACUGGGCAGCAGCAACACACACUCUUUUACUGUGAAUAAAAUAGCAAUAGUUUUAUGUGCCUUUGUGCUAUGUAAAAUGUCUUUUUUUUUCCUCUUGGCUUUAUCCAUUCCAGAUUAUUUUGUCCAUCUUUAUGUACUCAUUUGAAAAGAGGUUGCUUAUUACAAAGGAAAAAGAUAUCUAGAUGAGCAAGUUUGAAUUCCAUGUCUCUGUUUAUUUUUAAAGGAAUGAAUUGGGUUCAUUAUUCUUUCACUAAUUUUUAAAAUAAUUUAAUAUUUUCACUAAAAUGAGUUAAAUGAGCAUGAGGAAAUAGUAUUUUUUAAACUAGUUCCAGGAAUGGACAAGCUCCUAAAAAAAUUAUUAAGGCCUUCUAAUUACCGUACAAUAUUAAUUCAAAAAUUUAAUUUUUUAUUUAAGUGUCAUCUACAGAGGUAAAAAAUAAGGCACAGCAUUUGUCCUGGAGAAACUUCUUAUAAUAGUCCUCUGUAAAGUAUAGAUAAUCAAACAAUCUAACACUGUUUAUUUGAACAUCAAAAAGUGGACAAAUAUUUAGAGGAAAUAAUAUAAUUGUUUUAAUGCAAAUCAUCUCUGAUGGCUAAGUCCAAAUGUAAUAAGAAAGCUUAGGUUUUGAUUUAAAAGGAAGUCAAUUUUCCAGCAUCUCCCCUUCUGAAGAGGUUAAAUGAUGAUUCUUUUUUUUUUUUUUUCCGAUCACAUUUUAAUCCAGAUGACAGAGGACUUGCACUCCUAAUUCAGACUUUCUGGUAAAGCUCAGCUUGUCACAAUGUAUAGCUUUCUUUUCUUUGAUAAGGUCAGUUUGCCAAAAAGAACAAAGUGCAUAUGAGUAAUACAUUACUCAACCACUUGUAUACAUACAUCUAUUUUUCUUACCAGGUCUCACUAUUCAGAAAGGUACAGACAUGGCACCAUGAUAAAAAGGGUCAUUUAAAAGACUUCGCAGAGGCUCUGUACUGUGAAGGAUUGAAUUUUCACUUGAAUGCCUACAUUUUCACAUCUUUUUCUUUGCAGAAAUAUUCCUUUUGAAUGGCAGACUGCAAUUGGGUAGGUUUUUUUUUUUUUAAGUCACUGACCAGGAAUAUAUAAAAUAUUAGAAGGCAUUUGUCCCAGUGGAAGAACACAGUUCACUACCAGGUACCAGGUGGUUAUUAAGAAAGUUAUACAACUUUAUCUCUUCAGAUUGAAGAGCUCCUUCAGAUAAAAGCCUUAAGUUCAGUCAAGGUGGAAGGAACACUAAGGUCUGUCACUUCUAAAUGACAGACAAUUUAAAUAACUUGUGAAAUCAUUAGCCUCAAAGCCAUCUACCUAGUAAUUUUUCAUAAUCACAUCCAAUGUGUAUUCUUAGGAACACACAAGCAGACUCCAGUUUAUCUUUCUAUCUACUUCAAUAUUUGAUCACAACAUUUUGAGAAAUAUGCUCAUGACUAAUUUUAAAACCUCUAAUUUUUCUUUAAUGGUUUUAUAUUUCCCAAAUACACUUAAAGGGGUGGGGAGGAGAGAAAAGUCUAUUAAAUACACUGAAACUUUUUAAUAUUGGUUACUGGAUUCCCUAAGGAGUUAGUGUAAAUUCAGUUCAGUUGAAUGAAACAGAUAUUUCUUCAUCUCCUACUAUCAGUAUGGUAUUGUGCUGGGAUUACGGGGAGAAAUAGGAAUGAAUAAAGCACCUUCUCUACGCUUAAGGAUUCUAGAAUCUAUAAAAAAAGUAAGGUGCAUAACCAUAAUAAAAGCUAGAAUAUGAUGAAUAAGAACAGAAAGUCACAAAAUUCUGUCAGAAUAUAUCAAUGAGAUUUUGUCUGGCUGUAUCAAGGAUGACAUCAUAGAGGAGAGAGCACUUAAACACUGCCUUGAAAGAUGCAUUCAGUUGGCCUGCAGUGGAGAAGGACAGAAUAGUCUGAUAGAAUUGCUACAUUCUGGAAAGGAAAAUGCCAAGAGAAAAAGCAUCCAGGUGGGAAAAAUGCAGGAAUGUUGGUGUGACAUGGAGUCCAAUAUAAGCGAGACAGAGGGGGAAUAUAAGUUGCUUGAGGAGGAGUGAUGAAAAUCAAGUGUGAACAACUAUGUUGACACUUGAUGUUACUAAGGAGUUUGGUUGUGAUUCUACAGGCAAUUGAGAGCUUCAGAGCAACACAAUGUCUAACAGAACUGUGAUUUGUGUAGCUUGUAAAAUAUUGUUUCUUUCUUCUCAUGUAUAAUUUAUCUGUUUUUUCCUAUACUGUUAACGAUUUUUCUUGAACUUUAAUUCUAUUUUUUUCCCUUUCCUGUUGGAACUAAACCAGAGGACUAUAGAUGUCAUGGACAAUAUAUCCCCCACUCAAGUAUUCAUGUCCAAACUAAAUUGUUAAGAAACUUCACACUAACAAUAAUGAUUUUAUAACUCUAAGUCUAGUGGCAAUUGUGUAUUGUUAUUUUAAAAAAUACUUAGAAUUACUUAAUUACUUCUGAGUUAUGUGGAAUCAGAAAUACAUUUCUUUGAAAGUGAAACAGGAUAUCUUGUUCAUAUUGUAUAACAAAACUGGAUGAAAAGGUAUUUUUUGGGCUUUUAAGAAAUAAA